GGAGUCUUCGGACUGCGGAAGAGUGGCGAACGGGUGAGGAACACGUAAGAAUCUGCCCCUCGGUCGGGGACAACUCUUGGAAACGAGAGCUAAUACCCGAUACGCUGUGGAGUGAAAGAAUUUCGCCGAGGGAUGAUCUUGCGUCUGAUUAGCUAGUUGGUGUGGUAACUGCACACCAAGGCGACGAUCAGUAGCUGGUCUGAGAGGAUGGACAGCCACAUUGGAACUGAGACACGGUCCAAACUCCUACGGGAGGCAGCAGUGGGGAAUUUUCCGCAAUGGACGAAAGUCUGACGGAGCGACGCUGCGUGAAGGAUGACGGCCCGCGGGUUGUAAACUUCUUUUCUCGAAGAAGAAACAAAUGACGGUAUUCGAGGAAUAAGCAUCGGCUAACUCCGUGCCAGCAGCCGCGGUAAGACGGAGGAUGCAAGUGUUAUUCGGAAUGAUUGGGCGUAAAGAU
rnacentral:rRNA from 1 species